CGAACGCUGGCGGCGCGUUUUAAGCAUGCAAGUCGAACGGUAAUAGAGUGCUUGCACUCUAUGAGAGUGGCGAACGGGUGAGUAACACGUAGAUGAUCUAUCUUUGGAUCUGGGAUAGCCUGUGGAAACACAGGGUAAUACCGGAUACGACCUUAACGUUACGGCGUUAGGGGGAAAGUCGCUUAGGCGACGUCCGAUGCUGAGUCUGCGGCUCAUUAGCUUGUUGGUAGGGUAAUGGCCUACCAAGGCGACGAUGAGUAGCCGGCCUGAGAGGGUGAUCGGCCACACUGGGACUGAGACACGGCCCAGACUCCUACGGGAGGCAGCAGCUAAGAAUCUUCCGCAAUGGGGGAAACCCUGACGGAGCGACGCCGCGUGAACGAUGAAGGCCGGAAGGUUGUAAAGUUCUUUUCCUGGGGGAGAAUAAUGCUUGGAGGUAAUGCCAGGCAGAUGACGUGAACCAGGGAAUAAGCCCCGGCUAAUUAC
rnacentral:rRNA from 1 species